GGGCGGCAUGGCCGAGUGUAA
rnacentral:tRNA from 1 species